rnacentral:sRNA from 1 species
AAAAAACCUCGGACAUU